rnacentral:tRNA from 1 species
GCUAUUGUGGCUCAGGGGUAGAGCAGCGCACUCGUAAUGCGCAGGUCGUGAGUUCGAAUCUCACCAAUAGCU